UUGAACCAGCAUGGAUCUUUGUUAACGCGGGUUUAUUAUUAUAGCUGCUGUGGUGGAUAUUAAAACUGUGUCUGGUGAUGGUAUUUAGGUACCAUCAGAUCGUCUUUUGAUUUGUUCUCCUCGGCUCUUCGGUUGAAGUUGGUUUAUGGUUGCUUACGGUAAAAGGGGCAGGAUCAAGCUCACAUGUGCUGUGGGACAUGGCGCGGAAUCUCCCCCUGACGGAGCGCUGCUGGAGCAGACUGGAGCAGGGAUUGCCAAAGUUGUGUCUGGGGUGAAAGUGGAGCUCUGGAGUUUCUUUCAAGAUCAUUUUAUUGCAGCGAGAAAGGCAGUCCUGGAAAGUUCUCCAUGAAUGUACGUCACAAUGAUGAUGACAGACCAGAUUCCGCUGGACCUGCCGCCACCACUACUGAACGGGGAGGUGGCCAUGAUUCCGCACAUGAUUAAUGUUAAUGGGGAUGGAUCGCAACAGGUGAUCUUCGUGCAAGUCAACCCUGGAGAGACCUUCACUAUCAGAGCAGAGGAUGGAUCCCUGCAAUGCAUUCAAGGUAUGCUGGGCUUCCUGUUUCAUGCAGUUUAACUUGCAACAGGUUCCUCCGUCCUGCCGUCUCAGGAGGUCGUUUCUAGAAUUGGGUUGGUGCUGUUGUUCACUCUUAUCUGGUUUCGUGGUGUGUUUCUAGUUAAUUGGAACCAUGACUGGUGUGAUAUUGGAUUUGGAGCUGGUGUAAACUGAUGAGAGGCUGGACGCAGGGCCACGACUGGCAUGCCUCUGAGGAAAUAAAAGGCCGAUUGUACAAUGGCAGAUUACAAUGCCUCUUUGUCUCAUUAACAGUCCCCUUUAACAUUUAGUGUCUCUGUAGCUAAUUAACGAUGGACAAGAUGGAUUGUUUGCAUUGGCUGCGGUUGAGUUCUCUGAACAGCUGCGCAGAUAAGGACAGCUCUCAGAGGAGAACUUUAGUUUGAGAAGUUGCACAACGUUCUAGUGUGUUGCCUUCUAAAAAUACAAUUUUUAAUAACAAUUUUUGUUUAUACAAGAGAGCUUAAUGAAUGAUUCAUUAGCUGGUCACAGUAUUUCAGUUAGCCAGUGUUAUCUAGUGCAGUGUUUUCCAAACUUUUUUGCCUUGUUAUUAUAUAUACACUACUGAUUAAAAGUUUAUUGUCAGGAAGAUAAAAAAAAAAGUAAUUAAUACUUUUAUCCAGCAAGAAUG